rnacentral:lncRNA from 1 species
ACCAGCCUGCGUCUCCGGAGUCUCCAGGUUCACUCGGGAUCGAAGGACAUACGUGAUCACCUGUAGCCCCGGGCCCCCGCGCAGCAGCCGGGCCCGCUCCGCGCAGCCCCCAUCCCUCGCUAGCCGUCGCGUCCAAGGACGCUGGCAGAUCUGGGUUGGCGGCGAUGUCACCAGAUGGCUGAGACCACAAGGCGACUCACUCGGCUGCGUCACGGCCCGCUGUAGCGGCUGUGCAGCAGAGGGAGUCCGAGUCAGGUCCGCUGGGCUCUCGCCGCGCACUACACCCGCCCGCGUCCCCAGCUUCCGGCGCCUCAGCCCACAGAAGAGCAUACCCUAGAUUCUCGAUUCCCGGACUGGUAGCAAGCAGAAAUGAGGAGGGCCCAACCGCGCCCGAGGCCUUAAAUACUAAUGGGGGGCGGAGUGUCGGGAGGAGUCUGAAGGCCAGGGUGCGGCCGCUCCCGAGUAGGAAAAGGAACAGUAAGGCCAGGUCACCGCCUGCAGCCCUACAAUCUAGCCUAUCCUCUGGCUCUUGGCCACUUUGCAUCAGAUUGGGCAGCUGAUCUUUCCGGUACUUUCUGGAUGCUUUGGCUACCUCCACUUAGCGUUGCCAGAAGUGUGCCAGCACUUAGUGGAUGGACAUACUUGUAACAAAGCAGAACAUAAGUUUAAAGUGAGGAAGGAAGACUUUUAACUAUGGGGCUGGAGGUAGAGAUCUUAUUCAGCAGGCACAAAAAAAUAAAAUAAAAUAAAAUAAAGACAGGUGGUCAAUGCCUGUGUCCCAACGUAGCCUUCUCAGCUUUGAGUAGGCCUUUCCCAGCCUUGAAAAGACUGAGCAGUAUUCCCAGCCUUCAGCAAGCUAAGCAGACCUUAACACCCCUGGACACAGGCAUCUGUCUUGGCUGCAGUUGCAGGUACCCAUGGGAACUUUGAUGUUUUUGCUGCCUGCGCCGACCUUGCUGCUACAACAUACUCCAGCUGAAGAAGUGGAUGGAUUUUGUGUUUUUUUUCCUUUAUAAACACAAAGCUUAUUAUUAAACUUUGAGCCUUGAUCAGAACCUUUGUCUUGGCUUCAUCCUUCUCUCGCUCCUUUUCCUUAUUUCUAGCCCCCCUUUCAGGUAAACCCAGUUCAACCAUGGCUGCUGGCUGGAUGGCUACAGAUGGACUUGAAAACGGGAGUGGGGAUGAGGGGGGGAGAAGUGCUGUCUUGGGUGGAGCUCCACAGAAAACAGAAGAAAAGUGAAAGUAUCCACGAAGCACUGUAAGCAGCAUAAAGAAUCAAUGCUAGCGCUAGCCAUAAAUUUUAUUUUUUGAAACUCUUGCUAUAAAAAAGUGCUUUCAGAGGGAUACAGGCUAGGCUGAAGAUGUGUUGGCCCGACACCUACUUCGCCUAAGGUGUGGCAGCGUAAUGGGGCAAGGGAAUUCUAAACAGGCAGAAAAAUUCUUAGCUCAUGUACAUUUAUGUUGUCCUUAAUUCCCAGAAGUAAGAAUGGUAAAUAUAUAAACGAAAGAAUUAGUCAAGUUGAGGAGGAAUUGAGGAAGUUAUAAAAGCAGGGCGCUGGGGAGCAACGAUCAGUAACUACCACUGUGCCUCCUCUCCCUUCUCUGGCAGAAUUCCCAGAAGGAGAUAGAGUUAGGCCUUGAACAUGAGAGAGAGAAAGAGAGAAUAGGUUUCAGAAAUGGAGUUGUCCCCUGUCCGGGACGUUUUAGCAAAAGAGAAGGAAAAUAGAUAUAAGCUAUUUCAGAGCUCUCCUAGGGACUGGAGGAAAUUGGGAUGAGAAGCAUCCUGCUUCCUCUAUGGCUUCUACUGGAGAUAUACUUAGUUCUGUUUAGGAUAUCUGGGUCCCUUUGAGACAUCAAGUUCUAUUCCCUCUCUGUCUAAUGUCUGUCCUUGGAAUAACAAUCUGUCCAUAUGUCUGUCAAUUUAUGUUUGUUUUUGUUUUGUUGUUUGAAUGAUUGUUGUUCUGUGUUUCAUGUUGAAAAAAAAAAAGGUUAAAACUUUAUCUGCUGGCUGUCCAUCCUUUGAUUUAGUUUAACUUGUUUAAAAGGCAAUUUGCACAGCAGAAACUGAUAAGUUACACUGCACUGUGGCUAGGAGUCAAGUACAGCUGAAAAAGCCCUGCUAGAGGCUGAUUAUCUACACAAGCAGCUCUUAAAGGGACCAACAGCUUUUUGCUUGUAACAGAAAGUCAGCUUAAAAUUGGUAACUCAGGUUUGGAGUCAUUCUAAACACUACUUGGCAUGAACCAACCCAGGAAAACAGAUCUUUAAAAAUACUUCUAAAUUGGGAUAAUAUUUUAUGUAAUUCUUAUCCUAGAAACUAGACUUAUAAAGGAUAGGAUUUAAGACACUGUCUCUUUAAUGAUGUAUUAAAGUUACACUGUCAUGCAUUCAUAUAUAAGAACUGGCAGCCAAACUUUGUAUGUGAAAGUAAUGCUCUUUGUAUUGAUUUUAAAGAGAAUGGUUGUUUAAAAUAGGUUUAAAAUAGGUUUUUUUUUUAAAAUUAUGGGCAUGCUCUAAUAUUGCAAAAGAAACUUAAAAAUAGUUAAACUGCCAAUAUUCCAUUAGCUGCAGUUUACAAUUCAAUCACAAGCUCAAGAUUUUAACUCAUCCAUAUUUGUAAUUAAGAAAAAAACAAGCAAGUAGAGACAUUUCUAAGGGAAAUUAU